rnacentral:rRNA from 1 species
AACGAACGCUGGCGGCAUGCCUAACAUAUGCAAGUCGAACGAGACCUUCGGGUCUAGUGGCGCACGGGUGCGUAACGCGUGGGAACCUGCCCUUAGGUUCGGAAUAACUCCCCGAAAGGGGUGCUAAUACCGGAUAAUGUCUUCGGACCAAAGACUUAUCGCCUUUGGAUGGGCCCGCGUUGGAUUAGCUAGUUGGUAGGGUAAAAGCCUACCAAGGCGACGAUCCAUAGCUGGUCUGAGAGGAUGACCAGCCACAAUGGGACUGAGACACGACCCCGACUCCUACAGGAGGCAGCAGUGGGGAAUAUUGGACGAUGGGCGGAAGCAUGAUCCAGCAAUGCCGCGUGAGUGAUGAAGGCCUUAGGGUUGUAAAGCUCUUUUACCCGGGAUGAUAAUGACAGUACCGGGAGAAUACGCUCCGGCUAACUCCGUG